UUGGAUUAAUUUAGGCCUCUUUCCAGCUUCACAAUUACGGCACUUUCACGCCACUGUCUUGCCUGCAUCCUGCGGAAUCCUGGAAUCUGUAGUUUAGCAAGGGACUAGAAUUCCCAAUCUGAGAAUUCUGAAUACCACUUCCUAACCUUCACAUCCCCAGAUUACACAGGAUGGAUCCAUGGCAGUUAACUUGCAGUCAAACUGCUAUAAUUCAAAGAGACUAAAGAAGAAAUAAGCAAUUGAGGGGAGGAUAUCAUAGAGAACUUUACACAUGGUGUGGAAACAGUGGAAAGGGAUUUCUCAUAAUAUUAGAAUUAUGGUCAGCCAUUAAGUCUGAAUAAUGGGAGGUUUAGCACAAAUAAAAAUACUUGCAUACAGAAAAUAUAGUUACAUUUUGCCAUUUUCUACCACAAAAUGCAUCAAUGGCUGCCAACUAAAUCUGUUUCCCUUUUAUGUCAGCUUUCCUUGGCACAGAAAUCUUACGACUUACACAUCAUAAAUCUUGAUGUAGCCAUCAUCUGAAGCUGUAGUUGCCCAAACAAAAAGAGUGGGAAGACAACAUAUCAGAUGUUAAUCGGAUGUUUUAAAAAAGGUCACCCAGUCCUGGACCAGAUAACCAUUCUUUUCUCUACGGGCUUCCAGAUGACUCCACGCACCAGCUGCUUCAGCAAAGUAACAACUACCAUCAUCAUCAUGAACAAUUUGUUGGCCUGUGUAACUCGGUCCCACAAAGGAAGGGCAACUCCACUGUGAAAGACAUAAAAUAUCCUGUCUUCCAUACAGAUUCUACCUGCUGCCUUGGUUUAGUACCAGUUCAAGAUGUAGAGAGGACAGAUUUUUGCCAGGACAGAAGACAAACGUGAUCUCAAAAUCCAACAGACACAUGCUUGGGAGAAAGCCAGGAGACACACUUGAACAACCUACCACUGCAAGCUCCCUCAGAUACUCUUCCUAGCACCAGUUAGGGGACAAACUGCCUUACAAAGACUAUUCUGAACAGAGAAGUAGUUAUUUAUUUUUGGUAUUACAACUCUACAUAUUUAUGCACUUGUAAAUAGAUGUAUAUGUGCCUUCUAUAAUUAUAUGGAGAGAAGUAGCAUCAUGUGGGAAAGUUCAAGAAUAAAUCAAGGCUGGAACAAUAGCACCUACCUUUAUCACAGUGAAGACAAAGCAGCUUUCUGGUUUCCAUCUCAGUAGGGACCAAAGCAACAAAAAAAGCAUAGGGCCAAGGGCCCAUUUUCCAGCAGCAAGAAGGUGUAUCUCUAAUGAUGAUAUUGUGGACAAAGGUAAUUUUGUAGGAGGAAUCUUCACUGCAGGAUGCUGAAUGAAACAGAUAUAAAGUAAAAGUACAAUAUUUACCUGCAUUAAAAAGCAAUAUAUGCAUACACAGAUUCUGAGAUCGUGCCUGUAAUUUAAAAAAAUGCCAUGCUUCAUCAAAUAAAUAAAGAGUGCUUCUUUCCUUUGA